rnacentral:rRNA from 1 species
ACUGAAUAGAUACCCCGGUAGUCCACGCCGUAAACGAUGAGUACUGGGUGUAGGUGGGGUUAGAGCCAUCUGUGCCCAAAGCAAAAACGCGUUAAGUACUCCGCCUGGGGAGUGCGGCCGCAAGGCUAAAAACUCAAAGGAAUUGACGGGGGCCCGGCACAAGCAGCGGAGCGUGUGGUUUAAAUUCGAUGCAACACGAAGAACCUUACCCAGGUUUGACAUGCACGUAGUAGUGAAGCGAAAGCGGAACGACCCUUCGGGGAGCGUGCACAGGUGCUGCAUGGCUGUCGUCAGNUCGUGUCGUGAGAUGUUGGGUUAAAGUCCCGCAACGAGCGCAACCCCUCGUUGUCUAGUUACUACGUGUCUAGCGAGACUGCCGGUAUCAAGCUGGAGGAAGGUGGGGAUGACGUCAAGUCAGCAUGGCCUUUAUAUCUGGGGUC